GGGGACGAAACUGGUUUCGACGGGUUACGUGGUGUUAGCGGCGGCAUGUCGAGGAGGUCCUGGUCACCUCGUAAAUCAACCGGGAAAACAAUGUAAUUGCAGACAAUUACAACUACGCUCUGGCUGCUUAAUUGACGGCCAGCGCCCGCUUUUGGUCGUGCCCGCUGGGCUGAAAGAUGGGCGUCAGAUACAGCAGGAUAGUCAUCUGUGAUACCUCGGCAGAGAUGACGAAACUUGCGAGGCUGGAUCGCUUGCGGUUUGUUCGACGCACCAAAAGUGAUCGAGACGCAAGCGUUGAACUACACAUGUAGAUGCUGCUAUGGCCGGUUUCUCGGACGCGGGUUCGACUCCCGCCGUCUCCACAA
rnacentral:tmRNA from 1 species